UACGGAGGGAGCUAGCGUUGGUCGGAAUUACUGGGCGUAAAGCGCACGUAGGCGGCUAUUCAAGUCAGAGGUGAAAGCCCGGGGCUCAACCCCGGAACUGCCUUUGAAACUAGAUAGCUAGAAUCUUGGAGAGGUCAGUGGAAUUCCGAGUGUAGAGGUGAAAUUCGUAGAUAUUCGGAAGAACACCAGUGGCGAAGGCGACUGACUGGACAAGUAUUGACGCUGAGGUGCGAAAGCGUGGGGAGCAAACAGG
rnacentral:rRNA from 1 species